rnacentral:rRNA from 1 species
UACGAAGGGGCUAGCGUUGCUCGGAAUCACUGGGCGUAAAGGGCGCGUAGGCGGCGUUUUUAAGUCGGGGGUGAAAGCCUGUGGCUCAACCACAGAAUUGCCUCGAUACUGGUUGGCUUGAGACCGGAAGAGGACAGCGGAACUGCGAGUGUAGAGGUGAAAUUCGUAGAUAUUCGCAAGAACACCCGUGGCUAAGGCGGCUCUCUAGUACGGUACUGACGCUGAGACGCGAAAGCGUGGGGAGCGAACGAG